rnacentral:other from 1 species
AGCUCCCUGCGGUGUGCGUGAUCGUGAAUAAUGUUUUGAGCCAACGCUCGUUCAAAUAGGAGCAACGUCCUUGCCGGGGAUGAUGACCGGGACACCGAUACGGCUGCCGAACAACUGAACUAAGGCGAGGCGACUCCACUCUGGUAGGAACGGGUCAAAACGUUCAGGACACGGCAUUGUGGGGUUUUA